AGGUCAAGAUACGAAGGGCAUACGGUGGAUGCCUUGGCGCUUUGGGCCGAUGAAGGACGUGGUAAGCUGCGAAAAGCCACGGGGAGCCGCAAACAGGCAUUGAUCCGUGGGUUUCCGAAUGGGGCAACCCGGCGGGGGAAACCCCGUCACCCGGCACUGAAUCCAUAGGUGCCGGGGGGGCACCCGGGGAACUGAAACAUCUUAGUACCCGGAGGAAAAGAAAGCAAAAGCGAUUCCCCCAGUAGCGGCGAGCGAAAAGGGAACAGCCUAAACCCGGCACUCAACUCAGAGCUUGUCUUAUGCAUAAAAAAAGGGCAAGUUUUGAGUUGAGUGCCGGGGGUUGCGGGACUUCCCGUAAAGCGCCGGACCUCUUAGCCGAAGAGGGCUGGAAAGCCCCGUCACAGAAGGUAACAACCCUGUAGGCGAAAAGGGGGAGGGCGUGGGAAGCAUCCCAAGUACCGCGGGACACGUGGAACCCUGCGGGAAACAGGGAGGACCACCUUCCAAGGCUAAAUACCCAAAGCGACCGAUAGUGAACCAGUACCGUGAGGGAAAGGUGAAAAGCACCCCGGGAGGGGAGUGAAAGAGAACCUGAAACCGUAUGCCUACAAGCAGUCGGAGCGCGUUAAACGCGUGACGGCGUACUUUUUGUAGAACGGACCGGCGAGUUACAUCCAGCGGGCGAGGUUAAGGCUAGAAAGGCCGGAGCCGGAGCGAAAGCGAGUCUGAACAGGGCGUGCAGUUCGCUGGAGUAGACCCGAAACCGGGUGAGCUACCCAUGUCCAGAGUGAAACUAAAGUAAAAUUUAGUGGAGGCUCGAACCAACCGUCGUUGAAACGGCGGUGGAUGAGGUGUGGGUAGGGGUGAAAUGCCAAUCGAACCCGGAAAUAGCUGGUUCUCCCCGAAAUAGCUUUAGGGCUAGCCUCGUACGAAAGUACCGGAGGUAGAGCACUGACUGGGCUAGGGGCCUACCCGGGUUACCGAACCCAAUCAAACUGCGAAUGCCGGCUACUUGGUGUACGGGAGUCAGACUGCGGGUGCUAAGAUUCGUAGUCGAAAGGGGAACAGCCCGGACCGCCGGCUAAGGUCCCCAAGCGGUGCUAAGUGGGAAAGGAUGUGGGGUUGCGCAGACAACCAGGAUGUUGGCUUAGAAGCAGCCACCAUUCAAAGAGUGCGUAAUAGCUCACUGGUCAAGUGACCCUGCGCCGAAAAUGAAACGGGGCUCAAGCACCGCACCGAAGCCGCGGAUCUGAGAGGUGAGAGGUGAGAGGUUGGAAGUGGGAAUAACGAGCUUCCGUGACCUGGCGAUAUAUCAGAAAAGCUAUGUGCUUGCGUUGGAAGUGCAUAAGCUAACGCGGGAAUUGCCGGAGGUCGAGCGGUAUGAGCUUGGUCAUCAGUUGCGCAAAGCAGCCGUAUCCAUUCCGGCAAACAUUGCCGAAGGAUACGGGAGGAAAAACUCGCAGGCAGAGUUCAAGCACUUUUUACGCAAUGCUUUAGGCUCAUCCAAUGAGAUACAGGUACUUCCUAGCAUGAUCCAGGACCUGGAUUACCGGAACACAGAAAAGCUCAUAACAGAGUAUGACGUGCUGGGCAAACAGAUAUAUCGCCUGAUCGAAACAUGGAAGUAAGUAUUCUCACAUCUCACUUCUCACAUCUCACCUCUCAGGUGGUAGGGGAGCGUUGUGUAAGCGACGAAGCCGUACCGGGAGGAGCGGUGGAGUUUACACAAGAGAGAAUGCCGGUAUAAGUAAGCGCAAAGGCAGGUGAGAAUCCUGCCCGCCGAAAGCCUAAGGAUUCCUGGGGAAGGGUCGUCCGCCCAGGGUAAGCCGGGACCUAAGCCGAGGCUUGAAAGCGUAGGCGAUGGACAAUCGGUUGAAAAUCCGAUGCCACCUUGAGGUCGUUUGCAGGAUGGGGUGACGCAGAAGGGAAAGCCAGGCGCGCGGCUGGAAAAGCGCGUCCAAGCCAGUAGGGUGUGGGGCAGGCAAAACCGUCCCACGUAAGGCCCGAGAGGUGACGGGGAGGGAACAAGAGUACCGAAGUGGCUGACACCCAGGCUGCCAAGAAAAACCUCUAACGAGACCGCAAGGUGCCCGUACCGGAAACCGACACAGGUAGGCGGGGUGAGGAUCCCGAGGCGCGCGAGAGAACCCUCGUUAAGGAACUCGGCAAAAUGACCCCGUAACUUCGGGAGAAGGGGUGCCCCGUCAGCGUGAAGGUAGAACUGCUGGAGCGCGAGGGGGCCGCAGAGAAAAGGCCCAAGCGACUGUUUACCAAAAACACAGGUCCCUGCAAAAUCGGAAGAUGAAGUAUAGGGGCUGACGCCUGCCCGGUGCUGGAAGGUUAAGGGGAAGGGUCAGGGGAAACCCGAAGCUCCGAACCGAAGCCCCAGUAAACGGCGGCCGUAACUAUAACGGUCCUAAGGUAGCGAAAUUCCUUGUCGGGUAAGUUCCGACCCGCACGAAAGGCGUAACGAUUUGGGCACUGUCUCAACGAGGGGCUCGGCGAACUUGUAAUACCCGUGAAGAUGCGGGUUACCUGCGACAGGACAGAAAGACCCCGUGGAGCUUUACUGCAGCCUGACAUUGGACUUCGGUAUUGCAUGUACAGGAUAGGUGGGAGGCGGGGAAGCCGUGGCGCCAGCCGCGGUGGAGCCAGCGUUGGGAUACCACCCUUGGGAUAUUGGAGUUCUAACAAAGGGCCGUGAAGCCGGCUCGUGGACAGUGUCAGGUGGGCAGUUUGACUGGGGCGGUCGCCUCCCAAAAGGUAACGGAGGCGCCCAAAGGUUCCCUCAGCGCGGUUGGAAAUCGCGCGGAAGAGUGCAAAGGCGUUAAGGGAGCUUGACAGCGAGACACACAGGUCGAGCUGGGACGAAAGUCGGGCUUAGUGAUCCGGCGGUUGCGAGUGGAAGCGCCGUCGCUCAACGGAUAAAAGCUACCCCGGGGAUAACAGGCUUAUCUCCCCCAAGAGUUCACAUCGACGGGGAGGUUUGGCACCUCGAUGUCGGCUCAUCGCAUCCUGGGGCUGGAGUAGGUCCCAAGGGUUGGGCUGUUCGCCCAUUAAAGCGGUACGUGAGCUGGGUUCAGAACGUCGUGAGACAGUUCGGUCCCUAUCCGUCGCAGGCGCAGGAAACCUGAGAGGAGCUGUCCCUAGUACGAGAGGACCGGGAUGGACAGACCGCUGGCGUACCAGUUGUUCCGCCAGGGGCAGCGCUGGGUACCCAAGUCUGGUGAGGAUAAGCGCUGAAAGCAUCUAAGCGCGAAGCCCCCCUCGAGAUGAGGUUUCCCAUGGCAUAAGCCAGUAAGACCCCUGGAAGACUACCAGGUAGAUAGGCCGGGCGUGUAAGCGCAGCAAUGCGUUGAGCGGACCGGUACUAAUCGGUCGAGGGCUUGACCAGAA
rnacentral:rRNA from 1 species